AGUACUAAAAAUUUGGAAAAACCCAAUUCACCCCCCCUCUUAGGUUGUCACCUUGGGCAACAAGUGGUAUCAGAGCAGGUGCUCUAUAAUUUCUUGCCUUGUGACUUUGACCUAACCGUCAAAGAGCCAAAGAUCAUGACAACUCAAAUAGAUAGUUUUCUAGGAGAGAGAUAAUUAAUUGAUAGAUCUCCACUAUUUAAUGGUAUAAACUACACAUAUUGGAAAGCACGCAUGCGCAUUUUCAUUCAAGCACAUGACUACGAUUUAUGGAGUAUCAUAGUCAAUGGGCUACACACAAAUACUAAUCAUGAUAAGGAAAUGGCUCAGCAAAAUGCA
rnacentral:lncRNA from 1 species